GCACGCGCCGCAGCCGCGCGGGGCGGGGGGUGCGGAGGGUGGGUGUGCUUGGGGCGCGCGCGCCGCCGCCGCUGCCGCCUCAGCCUGCUGCACCGCCCGCGCCGCCUGCUCCCGGCGCUCGGCCCCAGCACGCCGGCUACCGAGCGGCCAUGGGCGGCGCGGGGUUCGCGGUGUAGAGUCCGCCAGUCCCGGACCCGCGUCCCGCACCCUGACGGUCCCGGCAAUUUGGGCAUGUGAGACUGUCUACCCAGGAGAUCAUGAUCUGCAUAGAGGCAAGGCCUGUGUCUUGGUGACUGUUAUGUCUGCCAUAGUUCCUGGAAGACAGAAUCCUAGGCUCCUCACUUGAAGAAGAAAGAGCUCCUGCAUCCCUGGACACAUCUGGCACUUGAAAUCCCUUCCUUCGCUGAAGGUGUUCAGCCUGCUGAUCUUGGAUGCUGACAUUGGUUGACUGGGCAGCUGACUGUGUUAAGGAUUUCGGAUCCGUUAAUUGUAACUUUGUGGGGGUUACAGAUGGAAGUGAAAGAUCUUUGGAGUGCAGGGAACCCUGACUCUGCUCCAAAGAGAGACUAGACAUGGACAAAAUCUCUAGGCAAGAGGAGUCCUGCGAUGGCCCCGAUGAAGGUGGAGAGAUCAGGGUGUUCUCACCCACCAGCAACUGCUGAAUCUCCAGAGCCACGGCAUUGCAGAUGGGGCAGGACCACUGUGAACCUAAGCCCAGAGCAGAACUGGAAGACUCCUCCUUCCUGAGACACCUGAUCCCCUUCUGCCCUGACAACCCUCUCAACCAGUCCUCAGCAUCCACUGUGUCUGACGCCCUCCCAGGCCAAGCAGAGAAAUCAUCACAGGCCAGGCUGGGAGUUUGGAGACUGCAAAGAGCUUUCAGGGACUUGGAACCUAAUGCCUCCAAAUUCUAGACGUUGUCAUCUCUGCCUCACAGAAGAUGGAACCAGGUCACUAGACUACAUCACAAAGCUCUCCUAUUUCAAAAGGUCCAGUAUCCAGUGCUGCGAGUUCAACCACCUCCAGAACCCUAGGACACUCCGUCCCUCACCAGUGGGAUGAAGAGAAGCAAGAAGACAGCCAGGAAGCAGCCCUCACAAGACACUGAAUCUACCAGCACCUUAAUCUUGGACUUCCCAGCCCCAGAACUGUGAGAAUUAAUUUCUGUUGUUUAUAAGCCACCUAGUCUAUUGUUUUUUGAUACAGAAGCCCAAGCAUACUAAGAUAGUCUUCAAGCUAUCACAGUCAUCAUAAGCAGCAGUCUGUAUUAUCCACCCAAGUAACAGUUAUUAACUCUCAAGUACCCAUACUCCAGUGAGAGAAUACACUACUAUAAAUAUUCAAAUCCAUGAACAGCCUCCUGAGAAGAACUAAGAAGAUGUCACAAACAUUAAAACUGCCUCACCUUCUCUCUAUAUCUUCUUUUUACCUCCUCCUUCUCCUAACAUUAGGGCCCUUUAGUCAGUGGAACUAGCUAGCCAUUUGUAACCCUUUCAGAGAAUUUCAGCUGAAAUCUGGAUACCCAGCCCACUCUGAUGUGGUAUUUGCCUUUCAUGCUUAAUUUGUCUAUAACAUUACAAAUUUCAUACUCCUACAUUUCUACUGUUAAAAUCAUAAUACUAUUUUAGUACUUCUCUUUUGCAAGUGAAAUUAGCAUUAACAUCUAAAAUUGAAAAGUUGUUGGUUGUUGCCCUAAUGUGUCUAAGGGCUUAAUCCAAGCCUGAAGUCUAAAUUCUCAGUGCCUAAGAUGACCUAUGUUUUGUGCAGGUUUCUCAGCAUACUUAAGUGCUACUGUGGACUUAUACCUGGGUCUCUUUGUAUCAGAGGAUGACCAGGUUGACUUUUCCUUUGGUAAAAUGGAAAGAACCUGAGAUCAGAGACAUCAUCUGGGAGUAUUCUCCUGAAAUGUUCUCUUGUUCUUUACCCUUACAGGAUUUUCCAACAGAAGGGCAGAGCAUGGAUGCCUCUCCAUUAAAGGAGGCACCAGGAAUCCUGUGGGCCUCAUGUCUAGAAUAAAAAAUCUUGGAAGGUUUUUUCUAGAUAUGCCUCCUAAGGCAAGGGAAAUAAAAGCAAAAAAUAAACUAUUGGGACUACAUCAAAGUAAAAAGCUUCUGCACAGCAAAGGAAACAAUCAACAAAACAAAAAGACAACCUAUUGAAUGGGAGAAAAUAUUUGCAAAUGAUACAUCUGAGAAAGAGUUAGUAUCCAAAAUAUAUUAAGAACUUCUACAGCUCAACACCCAAAAAACAAAUAACCCAAUUAAAAAAAUGGGUAGAAGACAUGAACAGACAUUUCUCCAAAGACAUACAGAUGGCCAACGGACAUGAAAAAAUUGAACAUUACUCAUCAUCAGGGAAAUGCAAAUCAAAACCACAAUGAGCUAUCACCUCACACCUGUCAAAAUGGCUAAAAUCAAAAACAUGAAAUAACAAGUUUUUUAAAGAUUUAUUUAUUUAUUUGAGAGAGGGAGGGAGUGGGGGGAAGGGCAGAGAGAGCGAGAGAGAGAGAGAGAGAGAGAAUCUUAAGCAGGUUCCACACCCAGUGUGAAGCCCUACUCAGGGCUUGAUCUGACGACCCUAAGAUCACAACCUGAGCCAAAACCAACAGUCAGAUGCUUAAUUGACUGUGCCACCCAGGCACCCCAAGAAAUAAGUUUUGUGAGGAUGUGGAGAAAAAGGAACCCUCAUGCACUGUUGGUAGGAAUAUAAACUGCUACAGCCACUAUGGAAAACAGUAUGGAGGUUCCUCAAAAAAUUAAAAAUAAAAUCACUAUAUGAUUCAAUAAUCCCACUAUUGGGUAUUUACCCAAAGAAUACAAAAACACUAAUUCAAAAAGAUAUAUGCACCCUUAUGUUUACUGAAGAAUUAUUUACAAUAGCCAAAUUAUGGAAGCAACCCAAGUGUCCAACAAUAAAUAAAUGGAUAAAGAAGGUAUGGUUUAUAUAUAUAAUGGAAUGUUACUCGGCCAUAAAAAAGAAUGAAAUCUUGCCAUUUGCAGCAACAUGGAUGGAUCUAGAAGGUAUAGUGCUAAGCGAAAGAAGUCCAUCAGAUAAAGACAAAUACCGUAUGAUUUUACUCAUAUGUGGAAUUUAAAAAACAAAACAAACAAAGAAAAAAGAGACAAAGAACCAGACUCUUAAAUAUACAAAACAAGCUGGUGAUUACAGGGGGUGGGAGGAGAUGGGUUAGGGAAUGGGUGAAAGAGAUGAAGGGGAUUGAGCAUACACAUAUCCUUUUUUAUUUUUUAGAUUUUAUUUUUAUGUAUUCUCAACACAACACAACAUGGGGCUCAAACUCACAACCCCGAGACCAACAGUCACAUACUCUACUAACUGAGCCAGCCAGGUGCCCCAAGAGUACACAUAUCUUGAUGAGCACUGAGUAAUGUAUAGGAUUGUUGAAUCACUAUACUGUACACCUUAAAUUAAUAUAACACUGUACAGUAAUUAUACUGGAACUAAAUACAUAAAUAAAAAUUAAAAAAAAAAAAGCCUUAGAGUUUUGCAGCUAGUGCUCACGUCCAGAGCAGAAUCAAGGUAGUGUCUCAGGAAAGUGGCUAGAAGGAAGCAGAAGAGCCCUAAACAUAUUCCCAUAAAGAUCAGGGACAUUUACUCCUGGUACUUAUGAAGAUUUCUAAUAAUUAUGUGACUGUUGUUCUUAUUUUAUGUAAUUUUGCCAUUAGGGAGCUAACAUUUUAAGCAGAACAAAGAAACUAAUAAACUUUUCAGACAGGGCCAGCGACAUGCAGAGGAACUUCCCAGAUGAUCUUUUUGACAUCUUUUUCAAUUUUAUAACUCUAUUCUAACCCUAAAAAUCUAAAAAUUGUUCAUAAACUCCUUUCAGCUUCUGAAGAGUAAGGAAUACAUUAGGAAACUGCAUCCCAAUUUAGAUGUAUCUAGGCAAGAACCCAGCCUAAGAAGACAUUGGUGGCAGCAGGAAAAGAAAGCAAGAGGCCAAAUCCAUGACCUAUAGAACUCAAAAUUAACUUGUUUCAAAAUUAUCUUGGAAGGGACUCUGGCUUGCAUCUCAAUCCAUAGCCCCAAUAUCCUAAAAGAAAGAAAAGUGCAAGUCUAUGUUGCAGGGGUAGUAUUUCUCCAGAAAUCACCUAAGUUUGAGAAGGCAACAGCGAGAAUCUGAGGCUCCUCUCUAAUUCCAGAACCUUCUCUCUGGUCUUCAGGCACCUGACAUAUCCCAGGGAUUGAAUCCUGCUUCUGUCUACUCAUCUUUUCAGCAUAGCCAAUAUACCUCUCUCUUUAUCUCAUCUCUUCAAAGCAGGCUCUGGGCUAAGUUCAGAAUGCCUUUAUGUGUUAUUCCCUCCCACUGCUGCCAUCCCACUACACUGUCUGCGGCCCCAAGCCAUGACCGAAUGUCAGGAAACAGCCCAUUUUUUUCCAUGCUGAAACAGCAUGGGAAAAUGCUUAGGAAAUGUAUGCUGAAUAAACUAUAUACAAAUAUAUACUAAGGCAAUUUAAAAAGAAUAAUAUUGUAGUGAAAUUAUGGAUAAUUCUUCUAUUUUAAAAAAUUUCAACAGUAUUGGGGCACCUGGGUGGCUCAGUUGGUUAAGCAACUGCCUUCAGCUCAGGUCAUGAUCCCG